CUCUCUCUCUCUCUCUCUCUCUAACCUUCGUUCUCCAAUUCCUCAGAUUCUUCUUUCUCCGUCGCUGAGAAUAAAGGAGGACAAAGUUCUUCUCUUUUCUGAAUCCCCUCUAUUCUAUCUAAACCCUAACCCACUCCCCUCAAUUUCAUUUUAAGAGUGAAAAACCACUUCCUUAUCCACAAGUCCAAAACGUUCUUGUUUGCUCCUCCGGUCUAAAGAAAAUGGCGACUGCAAACGCUCUCUCUUCCGCCUCCGUCCUCUGCUCUUCACACCAGGAAAAUUUUGAUUUAAGAUUUUGGUGGCGUUGAGAGCAAGGGAACCACAGCAAUGACGCGAUGCCAUCAUCACAGCAAGAGGUUCACAUCACACACAUAAUGUCUAUGUUUGAUGAUCAGCGCAUUUGAAGACUGACAUUAUGUCUAUGUUUGAUGAUCUUACUCAAGAUGGAUGAAGCUAAAGCUGUUGGGCAGUUAAGAAACUAUAGGAUGGCAAGUCUGCUUGGAUGUUGCUAUGAAGGUGAAGAGAGACUUCUUGUUCCUGAGUUUAUAUAUGCCUAACGAAACUCUGGCUAAGCAUCUUUUCCACUGGGAGUCGCAACCUAUGAAGUGAGCAAUGUGAGUAAGAGUAGCUUUACAUAUUGCUCCUGCUCGUAUUCCUGGUGGUGCUUGCCGUGGAACUGCUGAUAUGAGUGACUUAACUAGGUUGUGAACUAGGUUGUGAUUGUGAUUGUGUGUAUUUUGGCUGGUAAAGCUGCUGGAGCUUAAGUGAUUGUUGUUCCUUCUCUGCCUAAACAAACACAUCUUUUUCUUCUCUGCCUAAAGUAAAGUUUGAAGUUAGUCCU